ACUGCACGUUAUUGUACGGACGAUUAUUGUUCCAUUCGGCUUGCCAUACCACAAUGGCGUCGUUGCGAUUACGAGGAGACCUGGAAGAUUUAAGGCCAAACAAGAAAACCAGACAACCAUCUCUUUUAAGAUUCUGGUCCAGUCCAACAGAAGGUGGACCUGGCACAACUACAGAAAAUGACCACAGCGUUGACCUGUAUGAACGUUCAGAUAUUGGAGACACACAGAUAAAAG